rnacentral:rRNA from 1 species
UACGUAGGGUGCAAGCGUUGUCCGGAAUUAUUGGGCGUAAAGAGCUCGUAGGCGGUUUGUUGCGUCGGCUGUGAAAACCUGAGGCUCAACCUCAGGCCUGCAGUCGAUACGAGCAGACUAGAGUGUUGCAGGGGAGACUGGAAUUCCUGGUGUAGCGGUGAAAUGCGCAGAUAUCAGGAGGAACACCGGUGGCGAAGGCGCCACUCUGGGCCGAAACUGACGCUGAGGAGCGAAAGCGUGGGUAGCAAACAGG